rnacentral:rRNA from 1 species
CCUACGGGCGGCAGCAGUGAGGAAUAUUGGUCAAUGGACGAGAGUCUGAACCAGCCAAGUAGCGUGAAGGAUGACUGCCCUAUGGGUUGUAAACGUCUUUUAUAUGGGAAUAAAAGUGUCCACGUGUGGGAGUUUGUAUGUACCAUAUGAAUAAGGAUCGGCUAACUCCGUGCCAGCAGCCGCGGUAAUACGGAGGAUCCGGGCGUUAUCCGGAUUUAUUGGGUUUAAAGGGAGCGUAGGUGGAUUGUUAAGUCAGUUGUGAAAGUUUGCGGCUCAACCGUAAAAUUGCAGUUGAAACUGGCAGUCUUGAGUACAGUAGAGGUGGGCGGAAUUCGUGGUGUAGCGGUGAAAUGCUUAGAUAUCACGAAGAACUCCGAUUGCGAAGGCAGCUCACUGGACUGCAACUGACACUGAGGCUCGAAAGUGUGGGUAUCAAACAGGAUUAGAUACCCUUGUAGUC